rnacentral:lncRNA from 1 species
CAGGAAGGUCAUUGUAUUGGCUCGGGGUGAGGGUUCUAAGCAGGAAGGUCUUUGUGUCAUUGUAUUGGCUCGGGGUGAGGGUUCUAAACAGGAAGGUCUUAGUGUCAUUGUAUUGGCUCGGGGUGAGUGUUCUAAACAGGAAGGUCUUAGUAUCAUUGUAUUGGCUCGGGGUGAGGGUUCUAAGCAGGAAGGUCUUUGUGUCAUUGUAUUGGCUUGGGGUGAGGGUUCUAAACAGGAAGGUCUUUGUAUCAUUGUAUUGGCUCGGGGUGAGGGUUCUAAACAGGAAGGUCUUAGUAUCAUUGUAUUGGCUCGGGGUGAGGGUUCUAAGCAGGAAGGUCUUUGUAUCAUUGUAUUGGCUCGGGGUGAGGGUUCUAAACAGGAAGGUCUUAGUGUCAUUGUAUUGGCUCGGGGUGAGUGUUCUAAACAGGAAGGUCUUUGUAUCAUUGUAUUGGCUCGGGGUGAGUGUUCUAAACAGGAAGGUCUUAGUGUCAUUGUAUUGGCUCGGGGUGAGGGUUCUAAACAGGAAGGUCUUUGUGUCAUUGUAUUGGCUCGGGGUGAGGGUUCUAAACAGGAAGGUCUUAGUGUCAUUGUAUUGGCUCGGGGUGAGGGUUCUAAACAGGAAGGUCUUUGUAUGGAUUGUAUUGGCUCGGGGUGAGGGUUCUAAACAGGAAGGGGUGGUGAUUUCUCCUGUAUUCUCUUCUUUCAGUGGGUUGCCUAAACCCCACCCCAUAGGCCCCUAUAUUCAAAUAAUGAAGAAAAACUGAGAUGGUAUGACAUGGUGUAAUAAUCACAAGAUCAUAAAGUCAGAGGCUUGUCAUAAUUAUUACACGGUUUGAUAACGCCAGAGGAAAUGAGCCCCUGGCCAUAGUUGUAAUGAGUACGCUGAGAGUCGGGAAGCAAGUUCAGGGAGUGAAUAAAUGUAAUAAAUAAAUGAACAAAACAAGAAACACAAACAGC